rnacentral:rRNA from 1 species
UGGGGAAUAUUGGACAAUGGGCGAAAGCCUGAUCCAGCCAUGCCGCGUGUGUGAAGAAGGUCUUCGGAUUGUAAAGCACUUUAAGUUGGGAGGAAGGGCAUUAACCUAAUACGUUAGUGUUUUGACGUUACCGACAGAAUAAGCACCGGCUAACUCUGUGCCAGCAGCCGCGGUAAUACAGAGGGUGCAAGCGUUAAUCGGAAUUACUGGGCGUAAAGCGCGCGUAGGUGGUUUGUUAAGUUGGAUGUGAAAUCCCCGGGCUCAACCUGGGAACUGCAUUCAAAACUGACUGACUAGAAUAUGGUAGAGGGUGGUGGAAUUUCCUGUGUAGCGGUGAAAUGCGUAGAUAUAGGAAGGAACACCAGUGGCGAAGGCGACCACCUGGACUAAUACUGACACUGAGGUGCGAAAGCGUGGGGAGCAAACA